rnacentral:rRNA from 1 species
AGUCUGCAACUCGACUACAUGAAGCUGGAAUCGCUAGUAAUCGCGGAUCAGAAUGCCGCGGUGAAUACGUUCCCGGGUCUUGUACACACCGCCCGUCACACCAUGGGAGUUGGGAAUGCCCGAAGCCGGUGACCUAACCGAGAGGGAGGAGCCGUCGAAGGCAGGUCUGAUGACUGGGGUGAAGUCGUAACAAGGUAUC